rnacentral:lncRNA from 13 species
AUGAAAGGGCUGUGGACCGCUGCCCUAAUGAAAGGGCUGUGGAUCUCUGUUCUGAUGAAAGGGCUGUGGAUCUCUGUUCUGAUGAAAGGGCUGUGGAUCUCUGUUCUGAUGAAAGGGCUGUGGACCUCUGUUCUGAUGAAAGGGAUGUGGACCUCUGUUCUGAUGAAAGGGAUGUGGACCUCUGUUCUGAUGAAAGAGAUGUGGACCUCUGUUCUAAUGAAAGGGAUGUGGACCUCUGCUCUGAUGAAAGGGAUGUGGACCUCUGCUCUGAUGAAAGGGAUAUGGGCCUCUGCUCUGAUGAAAGGGCUGUGGACCUCUGUUCUGAUGAAAGGGAUGUGGACCUCUGUUCCAAUGAAAGGGAUGUGGACCUCUGCUCUGAUGAAAGGGAUGUGGACCUCUGCUCUGAUGAAAGGGAUGUGGACCUCUGUUCUGAUGAAAAUCUUGCCUGUAGAAGACAUUCUAGCUCUCUACAGCACCAAACCAUCUGCCGCUUACCUCCACCAGCAUUCCAAGAGCAACAUCGUUCAUCCCUUUACCUUGUCCUACCACCUGUUUGCAAUGCUGGGCUCGUUCAAGGCCGCGGACCACACCAGGAAGCAUACCCAGAAGGUGAAGUGGUGGCUGUCUGUGCAGGGUAACGGAGGUGCUGCCCCUGCUGUACAGAGGGCCUUGGUGCAGUCCUCUUCCUCAUCCACAUCUAACACCUUCCUCAGUGUCAGUGGUGAGUCCUUAAAGGAACAAACAGGGCAUUAUGAAGGAUAACAAGAAUCUCUACAUGAUUAAGGAAAUUCCUAUCCUGCGUUAUUAUACUGUUAUUACAGGGUAUCAGUCCUCCAGUAUGUUUAUCAUAUCACUAGUGGUUUCCUCUAAGUAUCAUUCUAGUGUGUUAUCAUAUCACUAGAGGUUUCCUCUUAGUAUCAACCCUCCAGUGUGUUUGUCAUAUCACUAGUGGUUUCCUCUAAGUAUCACUCUAGUGUGUUAUCAUAUCACUAGCGGUUUCCUCUAAGUAUCAACCCCCCAGUGUGUUUAUCAUAUCACUAGUGGUUUCCUCUAUAUCUGGGUUUACCCAUCUGUAAGGAAUCAAAUGUUUCACUACACCAUAUACAUUACUGUACAAUUAAUGUACACUCUGUAACAAAUAAAUAUGUAUUGCCUAUGUGGAAAGCAGGCAUAUGUCCUGUGUUAAAGUGUUAAUUAUGUGAAUAUGGCGGUAUGAGAUGGUGG